UCCGGUUUGUCACCGGCAGUCUCCCUAGAGUGCCCUUGCGUAGCAACUAGGGACAAGGGUUGCGCUCGUUGCGGGACUUAACCCAACAUCUCACGACACGAGCUGACGACGGCCAUGCAGUACCUGUGUUCUGGUUCUCUUUCGAGCACUCUCACAUCUCUGCGAGAUUCCAGGCAUGUCAAGGGUAGGUAAGGUUUUUCGCGUUGCAUCGAAUUAAACCACAUCAUCCACCGCUUGUGCGGGUCCCCGUCAAUUCCUUUGAGUUUUAAUCUUGCGACCGUACUCCCCAGGCGGGAUGCUUAAAGCGUUAGCUGCGCCACUGACGAGUAAACCCGCCAACGGCUAGCAUCCAUCGUUUACGGCGUGGACUAC
rnacentral:misc_RNA from 1 species